GGGGAUUUAGCUCAGUGGUGCAGCGCCUGCCUUCUAAGCACAAGGUCUUGAGUUCAAUCCCCA
rfam:Heterocephalus glaber contig49970, whole genome shotgun sequence.